GACCGCCUGGGGAGUACGGCCGCAAGGUUAAAACUCAAAUGAAUUGACGGGGGCCCGCACAAGCGGUGGAGCAUGUGGUUUAAUUCGAUGCAACGCGAAGAACCUUACCUGGUCUUGACAUCCACAGAACUUUCCAGAGAUGGAUUGGUGCCUUCGGGAACUGUGAGACAGGUGCUGCAUGGCUGUCGUCAGCUCGUGUUGUGAAAUGUUGGGUUAAGUCCCGCAACGAGCGCAACCCUUAUCCUUUGUUGCCAGCGGUUCGGCCGGGAACUCAAAGGAGACUGCCAGUGAUAAACUGGAGGAAGGUGGGGAUGACGUCAAGUCAUCAUGGCCCUUACGACCAGGGCUACACACGUGCUACAAUGGCAUAUACAAAGAGAAGCGACCUCGCGAGAGCAAGCGGACCUCAUAAAGUAUGUCGUAGUCCGGAUUGGAGUCUGCAACUCGACUCCAUGAAGUCGGAAUCGCUAGUAAUCGUAGAUCAGAAUGCUACGGUGAAUACGUUCCCGGGCCUUGUACACACCGCCCGUCACACCAUGGGAGUGGGUUGCAAAAGAAGUAGGUAGCUUAACCUUCGGGAGGGCGCUUACCACUUUGUGAUUCAUGACUGGGGUGAAGUCGUAACAAGGUAACCGUAGGGGAACCUGCGGUUG
rnacentral:rRNA from 2 species